UAGGGAAUCUUCGGCAAUGGACGAAAGUCUGACCGAGCAACGCCGCGUGAGUGAAGAAGGUUUUCGGAUCGUAAAACUCUGUUGUUAGAGAAGAACAAGGACGUUAGUAACUGAACGUCCCCUGACGGUAUCUAACCAGAAAGCCACGGCUAACUACGUGCCAGCAGCCGCGGUAAUACGUAGGUGGCAAGCGUUGUCCGGAUUUAUUGGGCGUAAAGCGAGCGUAGGCGGUUUCUUAAGUCUGAUGUGAAAGCCCCCGGCUCAACCGGGGGGGGUGAUUGUAAACUGGGAGACUUGAGUGCAGAAGAGGAGAGUGGAAUUCCAUGUGUAGCGGUGAAAUGCGUAGAUAUAUGGAGGAACACCAGUGGCGAAGGCGGCUCUCUGGUCUGUAACUGACGCUGAGGCUCGAAAGCGUGGGGAGCAAACAGG
rnacentral:rRNA from 1 species